UGGUGGAGGUGAAGUGCAAAGCCACUUGCAAAAAUUCUGUGGAUAUUUUGAUGGUCUUCAUGUCAUAGAGUGGAGGUCACCCAACCUAAGAUCUCUUCUGGUGGUGAACAAAGUGAAUUCAGARCUGGAAAUCCCGGAGAAACUCCUGUCUUACAUCUAGGGAAGCAAGGAUCUGUGGAGUCGCCGGUGUUUGGAUUUCAUUACCUUAGACCUGGAGUGUCACGGAGUUGCGAGCUGAUCUCCUGUCCCCUUGAAACUGAUAAUGGUUUGCUCUUGACUUCAGUUKAGUCAGGGGUUUGCCCCAGCACUUAAGAUAACUAUGACAGAAAUAUGUGGAGCUCAAUCCUUCUCUCAUUGCCAGUGACAUGAAUUUAGCAUUUCCUUCCUCACAGCGAAGAGAGGUUACAGCUCUACUGCCUCUCCACAGCACAUCCACAACUCCUGCUAGAAGAGAUGUCAGAAGAGCCAAGGAUGGAGAUCUACAAAAAUGAAGCAGAAGACUUGUGGAGUUUCUUCAUGUAGUGGUGUGGAUGUCUCUGCUUCUUUUAUUUAAAAUGAAAUUCAGACUUCAGAAGCACACUUGAUUUCCUUUUCUCUCGGUGCUGACAAGCUCUAGUUUAGCUUUGUUGUCUAAAGAGGUAACAGCAAUUAAAAUGUGAUGUGACAGCAACUUCUAUAAACUGUUUGGUGAUGUCAGAAUCCUAACAUAAGGAAAUCCUUCAACAUUAUCCAGGGCUUUUCAAAAAUUCAGCCAGAGCUUCCCCCUGAUCACUAACCCCUCUGACACUGGCCUAUGAGAGCAGGCYUGGCUGCAUGAUGAAACCCCGCUAGAGUCAAGUUAUGGUUAAGCUUSUUUAAAUAAAAGCCUGAUGAAAGUCUUGCCUUUGGGCCUUGGUGGUGAAGAGAGGAGCUGCUGGUUUAGAGCCCAGAUUUGCUCGUCAUACUUGCAGGUGAAUGUGUCCAUUGGAAGCAAUGAGCCCGUGCUGAACUGUCCCCGUUGGUUGUGCAGAGAAGUGGAGCUGUUUUUGCAGCACGUCCUUGCCAGCCAGGAGAGCUGCUUCC